CCACUCUAGAGAUAGAGCUUUUCUUCGGGGACAAAGUGACAGGUGGUGCAUGGUUGUCGUCAGCUCGUGUCGUGAGAUGUUGGGUUAAGUCCCGCAACGAGCGCAACCCUUAUUACUAGUUGCCAGCAUUGAGUUGGGCACUCUAGUGAGACUGCCGGUGACAAACCGGAGGAAGGUGGGGAUGACGUCAAAUCAUCAUGCCCCUUAUGACUUGGGCUACACACGUGCUACAAUGGAUGGUACAACGAGCAGCGAACUCGCGAGGGUAAGCGAAUCUCUUAAAGCCAUUCUCAGUUCGGAUUGUAGGCUGCAACUCGCCUACAUGAAGCCGGAAUCGCUAGUAAUCGCGGAUCAGCACGCCGCGGUGAAUACGUUCCCGGGUCUUGUACACACCGCCCGUCACACCACGAGAGUUUGUAACACCCAAAGUCGGUGAGGUAGCCUUUUGGAGCCAGCCGCCUAAGGUGGGAUAGAUGAUUGGGGUGAAGUCGUAACAAGGUAACCA
rnacentral:rRNA from 1 species